rnacentral:rRNA from 1 species
GGGGAAUAUUGCGCAAUGGGCGAAAGCCUGACGCAGCGACGCCGUGUGAGGGAAGAAGGGUCUAGGCUCGUAAACCUCUGUCAGAAGGGAAGAAACGUAUGGGUUCGAAUAGGGCCUGUAUCUGACGGUACCU